rnacentral:lncRNA from 1 species
UCUUUUCAUUACCAGAUCCUUCUUUGAAAAUCACUUUUAUUAUAAAUUUUCCGGCUACAAUUAAUUGGCAGAAAGACAAUUGCCUUUUCCAGCUACAAUCUUCGUAGCCAAUCCAUUGGAAAUUUGAAGCCACGACUAUAUAAUAUGUGAAAUCACGAGCACAACACUACUCUCCAAACCAAACCCACAAAACCAAAUAUCUACCUUCUAACACCCAGGAAGACAACAUAAUUCCACACCACAAAACAUAGCAUUUUACUGCUGUUAUUCCAUAUGGUUUUACUUACCCUCGACAUCAACCAGGCUCCAUUGGCCAUGCAAGUGAUUUCAAAAUUGUCCACUUGCGCGAAUUCGACCACCACUCCUUGUUUUUCUGUUGAUUCCAUUGCGACCUCCCGUACCUCUUUUACGACCACCGUAGCCACGUUUACUAUGACCACUACCACCGUUUCCGCCACCCCCACCACUACCGCCGCCAAUCCUU